rnacentral:lncRNA from 1 species
AUUCUACAUACCACCAAGGACUGUGGGUCGUCCGACCAUGAGACAUUUCCAGACUUUUCCAAAAAAAAAAAGAUGUUUUCACUGGAUACUCACAGAAAAGAAGCUUAUGAAUCAACGUAAACUACAACAAAAUAAAUGCACACAUUUUAGCACAUCUCUAUUGACUUUUCUGUUUGCACAGUUUGAUGAGGCAGGAUACCAUGCUGUGGAGACCCAUUUGGCAAGAAACUAAAGGCAGCCACCAUCCAAAUGCUAGGAAAAAGCUACAGCUUUCUGUCUGAUGGCAAAGGAGACACUGAAUCCAGUCAACAAUAACAGGAGUUUGAUGGAAGAUCCAUUCCCCAGUGGAGCCUCAGAUAACACCUCAAGUCUGGCCAACAUUCUGACUGUAAACUUAUGAGAGACCCUGAAGCAGAGAAUUCAGCUAAUCCAUGCCUGGGUUUCUGACUCUCAAAAAUUCUGAGAUAAUAA